rnacentral:rRNA from 1 species
UACGUAGGGUGCAAGCGUUGUCCGGAAUUAUUGGGCGUAAAGAGCUCGUAGGCGGUUUGUCGCGUCUGCUGUGAAAACGCGAGGCUCAACCUCGCGCCUGCAGUGGGUACGGGCAGACUAGAGUGCGGUAGGGGAGACUGGAAUUCCUGGUGUAGCGGUGAAAUGCGCAGAUAUCAGGAGGAACACCGGUGGCGAAGGCGGGUCUCUGGGCCGUAACUGACGCUGAGGAGCGAAAGCGUGGGGAGCGAACAGG